rnacentral:lncRNA from 1 species
CUGAGCCAUAAAUAUUUUUAUAAAUAUUUAUGGAGUGUUAAAAAGUUAGUAUUAAAGUUUCGUUAAGAAAUUUUAAAGUUCCGAUAAUUAAUUGAAUAAAAAGGACUAAAUUGUAACAAAUGCAAAAUUUUGGGAAAUGAUUAAAUAGCUUAAAUGAUAAAAGGAAGAGGGCUUAAAAAGCAAAUAGACCCAAGGUCUAUUUGGGCUGGACGGCAGAGGU